rnacentral:misc_RNA from 1 species
GUGGGAGGGGGCUUGCUCCCGAUGGCGGUGUGUCAGUCAGCCCAUUUGGCAAUGACCCACUGCUAUCGGGAGCAAGCCCCCUCCCAC